UUGGACCUGAUAUCGGGCAAGACUACCCCUAAACUUAAGCAUAUCAAUAAGCGGGAGAAA
rnacentral:rRNA from 1 species